rnacentral:misc_RNA from 1 species
GAUGAAGAACGCAGCGAAAUGCGAUAAGUAAUGUGAAUUGCAGAAUUCGGUGAAUCAUCGAAUCUUUGAACGCACAUUGCGCCCGCCAGCAUUCUGGCGGGCAUGCCUGUUCGAGCGUCAUUUCAACCCUCGAGCCCCCCCGGGGGCCUCGGUGUUGGGGGACGGCACACCAGCCGCCCCCGAAAUGCAGUGGCGACCCCGCCGCAGCCUCCCCUGCGUAGUAGCACACACCUCGCACCGGAGCGCGGAGGCGGUCACGCCGUAAAACGCCCAACUUUCUUAGAGUUGACCUCGGAUCAGGUAGGAAUACCCGCUGAACUUAAGCAUAUCAAUAAGCGGAGGA